GGGCCCGCACAAGCGGUGGAGUAUGUGGUUUAAUUCGAUGCAACGCGAAGAACCUUACCAGGGCUUAAAUGUAAGUUGCAUGGAUCAGAGAUGGUCCUUUCUUCGGACUACUUACAAGGUGCUGCAUGGUUGUCGUCAGCUCGUGCCGUGAGGUGUCAGGUUAAGUCCUAUAACGAGCGCAACCCCUAUCGUUAGUUGCCAGCAUUAAGUUGGGCACUCUAGAGAGACUGCCUGGGUUAACCAGGAGGAAGGUGGGGAUGACGUCAAGUCCUCAUGGCCCUUAUGCCUAGGGCUACACACGUAAUACAAUGGUUGGUACAGAGGGAAGCGAACUCGCGAGGGGGAGCAAAUCUCAAAAAAGCCAAUCUCAGUCCGGAUUGGAGUCUGCAACUCGACUCCAUGAAGUUGGAAUCGCUAGUAAUCGC
rnacentral:rRNA from 1 species